UACGUAGGGGGCUAGCGUUGUCCGGAAUCAUUGGGCGUAAAGCGCGUGUAGGCGGCCCGGUAAGUCCGCUGUGAAAGUCGGGGGCUCAACCCUCGAAUGCCGGUGGAUACUGUCGGGCUAGAGUGCGGAAGAGGCGAGUGGAAUUCCUGGUGUAGCGGUGAAAGUGCGCAGAUAUCAGGAGGAACACCGAUUGCGAAGGCAGCUCGCUGGGACGUAACUGACGCUGGAGAACGCGAAAGCGUGGGGGAGCAAACAGG
rnacentral:rRNA from 1 species